GCGUUCGUAGCUCAGUGGAUUAGAGCAUUGGUUUUCGGCACCAAGGGUCGGGGGUUCGAUCCCCUCCGAGCGCACCA
rnacentral:tRNA from 1 species